rnacentral:rRNA from 1 species
GCAUAAUUUUUUGUGGUGCAUUUACUUGAUUGGUGCUUGGGGAUGUUUGAGGCAGAUUUGUUUCCGUCGUUUUGAGGCCAGCUUGCUGGUACCCAAACGGUGUUAGCAUUUUUUGUCUUGGGCAUUUGAGUAUGGCUCACGUGUAUUUAUUGGACAGAUCUGAGUGUAAGUUACGGUCGCAUGCGACACGUGCUUUUCAAUUAGUUCGGUCCAGUUAAUGCUCUCGUACUCGUUCCCCAUGUAAAAGCCGGUCAUCUAUCCGACCCGUCUUGAAACACGGACCAAGGAGUUUAUCGUGUGCGCAAGUUUUUGGGUGUUAAAAACUUAAAAGCGAAAUGAAAGUAAAUGACUCUUUAGAGUCUGAUGUGCGAUCUUGUAAAAAAGUGUAGCAUGGCCCCAUUCUAACUGUUUACAGUAGGGUGGCGGAAGAGCGUACGCGGUGAGACCCGAAAGAUGGUGAACUAUUCCUGAGCAGGACGAAGCCAGAGGAAACUCUGGUGGAAGUCCGAAGCGGUUCUGACGUGCAAAUCGAUCGUCUGACUUGGGUAUAGGGGCGAAAGACUAAUCGAACCAUCUAGUAGCUGA